ACUCCUACGGGAGGCAGCAGUGGGGAAUAUUGCACAAUGGGCGCAAGCCUGAUGCAGCCAUGCCGCGUGUGUGAAGAAGGCCUUCGGGUUGUAAAGCACUUUCAGUCGUGAGGAAGGUGGUAGUGUUAAUAGCACUAUCAUUUGACGUUAGCGACAGAAGAAGCACCGGCUAACUCCGUGCCAGCAGCCGCGGUAAUACGGAGGGUGCGAGCGUUAAUCGGAAUUACUGGGCGUAAAGCGCAUGCAGGUGGUUGUUAAGUCAGAUGUGAAAGCCCGGGGCUCAACCUCGGAAUAGCAUUUGAAACUGGCAGACUAGAGUACUGUAGAGGGGGUAGAAUUUCAGGUGUAGCGGUGAAAUGCGUAGAGAUCUGAAGGAAUACCGGUGGCGAAGCGGCCCCUGGACAGAUACUGACACUCAGAUGCGAAAGCGUGGGAGCAAACAGGAUUAGAU
rnacentral:rRNA from 1 species